CCCUUGUACCGGUACAGCAAGCGACUUUCCAUGAUGGUUGUACCGGUACAGCACCAAUCUUGUACCGGUACAACAGAGUAAAAAUCCUGCAAUUUCGCAGAUUUUCACACAGAAUGCUGCCCUCGCGUCGCACGGAGUCCGUUUCGCGUCUAUUUGACGCCAACGCGACUCGGGCUUGUCUCGACACUCUCCAGAGCUGUCGACAAGCCCUCACUGUCAGAACCUGGGGUCUCACA
rnacentral:lncRNA from 1 species